rnacentral:rRNA from 1 species
GGACUACUGGGGUAUCUAAUCCCGUUCGCUCCCCACGCUUUCGCACCUCAGCGUCAGUCUUAGCCCAGGUAGCCGCCUUCGCCACCGGUGUUCCUCCUGAUAUCUACGCAUUUCACCGCUACACCAGGAAUUCCGCUACCCCCUGCCAGACUCAAGUCCCCCAGUCUCCAAGGCACUGUUCGCGUUGAGCGCUGAACCUUUCACCCCAGACUUAAAGAACCGCCUACGCGCGCUUUACGCCCAGUAAAUUCGGACAACGCUCGCCCCCUACGUAUUACCGCGGCUGCUGGCAC